rnacentral:lncRNA from 1 species
UUUUCUAUUUUGCAAUUUAGCCUGGUUUGGCGGCCUCCCGGCAAAUUAUUGCGUUCCUUCGGAACUUUGACAUGGCACCACUGCACUAUUGGACUACGGCAAGCUCACGUCGUCUGGUGGAGCUUCCUGCGGAAACUACUGCUGCUUACCUGGUGCCACAACGUUCGACGAAUGCACAAAAAGCCCGCGACGAGCAUUUGUAAAGAAUAAAAUAAACAUUUCCUCAUUUCACAA